CACAUUAGAGCUGAGGAAGCCCCAGGGCAUGAGUAUCUUUAGAAAAACCCAGGGACUCAAAUAAAUGCUGGUAAACAUAGACACUGGAAUACUAGGCUACCAUCAAAAAGACUGGGGCAGCUGUUAUGAAUGAAGCUGGUGUAAAUCAGUAUGCUUCCAUUUGUAUAGGGGAUAAUAAUGUGUAUUUGCCUUUGGUUAUAGAAGCAUAAAAUCUCUGGAAGGAUUCACAAGAUCCUUGGGAUGAGGGUUGCCUCUGAGGGAGUUACAGGAGGCUGGGAGACAGAGGGCAGAGAGCAACUUUUCCUACGGACCUUUUAAAAUUAGUUGAAUGUUAAAUCACGUAAAUAGUUUACCUGUGUCAAGGAUUAGAUCCUUUUGUAGGUCAUAAGUGCGAUGAUUGGGAUGUUGUGCUCAAGUGUGAGAUGUGCCUGCCUCAAACCUUGUUACAACGUUGGCACAUUACCUGUCUGACAUGAAAAAAAAAAAAAAAAGGAGACAGGCGUGGUGGCUUUCACCUGUAAUCCCAGUACUUUGGCAAGGUCAAGGCAGGAGAUCACAUGAGGUAAGGAGUUUGAUACCAACCUGGCCAACAUGAUGAAAGCCUGUCUCUACUAAAAAUACAAAAAUUAGCUGGGCAUGGUGGUUUGCUCUUGUAAUCCCAGCUACUUGGGAGGCUGAGGCAGGAGAAUCACUUGAACCCAGGAGGCAGAGGUUGCAGUGAGCCGAUAUCUUGCCAUUUCACUCCAGCCUGGGUGACAGAGUGUGACUGUGUCUCAAAAAAACAAAAAGAAAGAAAAGAAAAUAAAUUAAAUAACAAAAUUAAAACAAAAGUGAUUCUAAUGCAUAGCCACAAUUGAGAGCUACUGUGCAACACAGUUGUGAGCCAACAGUGAAAACUACAAGGCCAAUUACAAGCUUCAGGGACAAUCUACAUAUCUAUCUCUCUUUAUUUAUUUUGGAACAAGGUGCCUGUGGUCCCAGAUACUCAGGAGGCUCAGGUGGGAGGAUCGUUUGAGCCUGGGAGUUUGAGGCUGCAGUGAGCUGUGAUUGCACCACUGCACUCCAGCCUGGGCAACAGAGUGAGACCCUGUCUCAAAAAAAAAAAAAAAAAGUUGAAAAUUCCCUUUUAGGUCCACAUCCACUUACCUUUAAAAAAUUGAGGGAUAAUGGGCCAGGUACGGUGUCUCACACCUGUAAUCUUAGCACUUUGGGAG
rnacentral:lncRNA from 10 species